rnacentral:lncRNA from 1 species
AGUCCAGGUAAUGGAGCAGAGACUGGAGCAGAGACAAGUUGUUCCCACUGAGCUCUCCUCAGAUUACAGAUUGGGAGUGGCAAAUCAAAGGCAUUGCAGCCUCUUUCAUCACUGCCGAUUGCUGAUGCCAACCAUGUGCCAAGUGCUUAAUACGUCACCUUAAAUCUUCUCAUCCACCCUCAGAGUAGCUGCAGCAUCAACCCAGUGCCCUGACUUUCAAGACGACUAUGAAAACACCCCAACUGCUGCUAAAUUACCAGCAACAAGGAUCUGGAAUUUUCCUGACAAGAGCAGUGCCUAUCCUGAGGCAAUCGUAUUUCUCCUUGACUUCUCUCCAGUAUCAGCUUGUUGCUUGACACCCCUGCACAGCCAACUGUGUAAUGUGGGUGAGUCUAGCUGCAUUUUCUUCAGACACAAGCCUGGCUACCCAGUGCUAAGGUGACAUCAGGCCAGGCCACAUUUGCAGCAUCACAGAAAAUGAUGCUCUCUCCUGCCAAGUCCCAUUUUUUGGGAGGAGGAAAUGGAUUAGGUCCUGGAGGUUGUCAUAAAUGCAUCAAGUGACUUUCUCAGCAUCAUCUGAAACAUGCAGCCAUCCAGCCCAGAACACAACAAGAAUAGAGUUGAUGAGCCCUCUUCUCCUCAACAAACACCUGUGAUGAGAACAUUGAGGCAAGGGAACAGGUGGCCAAAAAUACCCUCAUAGCCUUGAGAAAGUCCAUCUUGAUGUUAUCCAGUGAAACUUAAUGGCAACGCAGGAGCCAGGGAGCCUGCUUUAUUUUGGAAAUGAAAAAGUCAGUACAGUUGAUGAGAAUUUGAAGAGAAAAGACACAACAAAGUAGAAGGCUAACACCAAUUCCAAACAAUAGUAAAGAAUCAUAAUAAAGUUACUAUGAAUCAAAAUA